UAAUUCAUCAGGGACUUUUUUACAAGAGCGCCACGACGGUGAAUUCGGAAACUCAAUCCGUGCUUUAUCUCUCCCUAUAUAUAUAUAUCUCCCUAAUAAUAAAGCACGGAUUGACUUCAUGGGUUCACCGUCACAAUACGUUUUCUUUUCAUGUCAUAAUACGCUUUUACAAAAUCGUAAUAUAAAUAAGAUGGUACUAACUUGGGGUACGCACUAAAGAUUUUUGUCAAAAUUCCUUAUUAGAACGUUCUUUCGCUCACGGGCUUGGUCGCUUGGGCCUGGGUAAAAAGGAAAAUAGACGAGCAAGCAAUCCUUCAACGCACGGGCGAGCAGUUGACUAAAAAAAGAGAAGCACAGGAGCACGACCUCAGCGCACAAGAUAAGAAGGUGAGCGCUCUGCGUGGCAGAGUCGCUCCCGUGUCGGGGCGCCGGCAGGAGGCCCCACGGCGGCGGUGAGCCGCGGAGGAGAAGAAGGAGCGCCAGGGAGGGGGACGCUCCCGUGCUCCCAUUCUCCCCCCGUCUCGCUCUGCCAAGGAAGGAAGGGCAUGGCCCUGCGAGCGGACGCAACGAGGCUCGCGUCCUCCAGCCUCCGCCGCCGCCACGGCCACCUCCUGCCGGCAGCCGCCACCAGCUUCAGUACACCCCUCUUCCUCGUCGCCCCCUCUCUCGUGGCUUGCUUGCCGCUCACCGUCCGUGUCAUUCCUCGUCAGGAUUCAAGCAGGUGCGCGAGGACGAGAAGAGCAAGCUGGUUGGAAACGGAGAAGAUGUUCAGGCGCGGCGCGGCGGGCGGAGCAGCAGAGGUUCAGGGGAGGUGCCAGCGGAGCAGGAGAGGUUCAUGGGUGGUGGAGCAGGAGAGGUUCAUCGCCGGUGCCCUUGUCGCCGAACGGCCAUCCUUGCUGCGCUUGAUGGAGGACAGAACGGGAAACAUUUUCUGGUGGGUACGCCGGCCACGGGCGCGCUUCGCUGUGACCUGUCCGCCGCCGCCAAUCCUCUCUGGCCUCCUCCGUAUCCUUAUCAAUCUCGGACGAGCUAUUCCCGUGUCGUGAUUUGGAUGGACAAUAGGAAGCCGUGUCCUUCUCGAACACCAAGCAAUGGAGUGCCCGACCCGGAUUUGAGUCGUUUGCUAUAAGAAGGAGCGGUCCUCGGCCAAAAUCUCCAUCAGAUUGCGUCCUUGGACCAUAAGCUCCAUCAAAGCCCGUCCAAAUUGCUUUUUUGGACGCAACGUGCAAUGUCGCCGUCGAGUUCGCCGGAGGAGGAAGUGCCGAGUUCGCCGGAGGAACAAGACCAUCUGUCCAACUGUCCAAUUUCGCAUGCCUCGGCUACACCAGAGGUAAUGUAUCGCCUUCAUAUUCACUGGAUGAAAUCCCCUGUUUGUCCCCUGUCUCUUGUCUCCGAUUCUGUUCUGUAGCCAGACUGAAAUAAGGGACACUACUUAAUUUAUAAAGCAUGAGAAAACUGAUGGAGGAUGGUUAGUACACCAGCAAAUUUUUGUAAGCUCAAGUUUGUAGACUGAUUUAGUAGUCUCUGUGAUUGCUACAUGCAAGUCAGUUUAGAGUUUCUGAGGGGAACGGCCUGGACCAUCUUUUCUUGUGAUCUGAAUUAUGAUGUACUAGGACAUAGCCACAAGGGUUAUUUCUUGUGUUGGCAAGUAAUCUUAAGACUUUUUUCCCCGGGUGAUUCGUAAGACAGAUUACCCUAUACAAUUCACAGUUUUAGUAUCUCUUAUGCACCUAAAUAUAUUUUAACUGGAAAAAAAUUCAGGUUCCCGCAGGUUUUGACUUGACUAACAAAUUUAAGUGAAUUUGUUAUUCCUUUUUGUGCUCUUCUUUUUAUUACUCAAAUAAAUCUGUAAUUUAGCCAGGCUAACAUCAAUGGGCUGCAGGCCAUAACUAUGCUAGCUUUAUAUUGCUGAAUGUAGGAGCUUAUUUUUUUCUUUUUAGUUAUUCACUGAUAUUGGGCAGGGCAUCUGAAUGAACCAAUUCGUGUUGAAAACAGAAACAUGUCUGUUUCAUGCACCUAUUUUCAGUUGACAAUAUACUAAAUAAUUGCACAGUGAAAAACUACAGAAAACGCUCUUAAGAUGCGAUAGUUUUGAACCUGAAUUUAUAAACGAUCUUAGGCAUCAAGUCCAGCAAGUUUGAGAUGUUCACUGAAACAUGUCGGUUUCAGGCAGCUAUAAUUCAGAAUUCUUUGCCAAACUGUAACGUUUCAGCCAUUCAGAAACAUUGCCCGUGAUGUUAAUAUGUUGACUAGGGGCCUUUUGUAGAAACUAAAGUGUGGCAUCUCUUUUGAUGGUUCAAUAGAAUUAAGUGUCUGGAGUCACUUCAUAUUCAGAAUUGCCCUGCCAUCCAUGCAAUAAAUAAAAAAGUGAUUUGGUCUGGUUUUCAUGUCUCUUCUGUGUAUGCGCGUGCAGGUGGCAAAGGCGUCCAAUCCAACUCAGGUGGAGGCCAAGGAGGUUCGGCUCUCGGACCUUGCACCAAUGAUGCUGGAUGAUACCGACGUGGAGACUGUUGAUGUCGAGAUAGAUUUUGAACUGACAUCAAUCGACAUCGCCGUUCCUUUCGAUCCUUCUUGACUUUUGGACGUGGAGAAGCACUGCCGGGAAGCGGGUGCAUUAGUUCAUGGCGGCAUACGGCCAUUAGGACUUAUUGUCCUAACCUCUGACAACAUGGAGGAGCACACUGCUGUUCACUUCUGGGUUACAAGUCAGAGCAGAACUACAUGAUACUCAUGUGCUCUGAUCUAAGAAGUUCUUCAUUGAGACCAGGACUAUACACAGCAGCCAAUGAAGGCUUCUUUGAAUUUGAUCUUGAAAAGGAAAAGAAGAUAUCUCUAAGAACUCUGGUGAGUUUGGGAAGCUAUUUCAUUUCUCGUGUUGUUCACUUCAUGCACUUUGUGUCAGAAUUGGACAUGAAUGAUGCGCCAUGAAGAUUGAUCCAUCAGCGGUGGAGAGCUUCGACAGUGGCAGGGUCUGCAUCAUGGCCAGAGCUUCUACCGUAGCGGUUGUCGACAGCGGGGCCCACAUGUAUGCCUUCAACAACGGCAGUACCACGGUCAGAGCACAUAAACAGGGGAAAAAUAACUGCUCAUUUCCUUGACCUCUAGGAUUCAUAUAUUAUAGUUUACUAUCAGCGUUAGUAGGGAAUUGUCAACGUUACCUCCCUGCCAAGUAUUGCAUAUUUAGUACGUGCAAGUCUGCUAAGGGGCCUCGAGUUAUGCUUACUUAUGAUGUUAAGUCUCUUUUUCUUCCGUUGCAACGCACGGGCCUUUUUGCUAGUUAUUAUUAGGGAGAGAUUUCUCCCGGAUUAAUCGAUUUUUUUUUGCAUCGUUUCCUGGCAAGGGCUACUGAGAGGUGUUGUAAUUGUGCACUGCAAGAGUUUGAUGAUAUGUCUAAAAUAAAGAUAUGGUGCAGCCUUGGAGCAGUCGUGCUCUAUU